GUCCAACCCCUGCAAUGCUCAGCUGGUUAGAGCGUGGUGCUGAUAAUGCCAAGGUUGCCGGUUUGAUCCCCGUAUGGGACA